rnacentral:rRNA from 1 species
GUAGGGAAUAUUGCGCAAUGGACGAAAGUCUGACGCAGCGACGCCGCGUGAGUGAUGAAGGCCUUAGGGUCGUAAAGCUCUGUUGAAUGGGAAGAAAAAAAUGACGGUACCAUUCGAGGAAGGACCGGCUAACUUCGUGCCAGCAGCCGCGGUAAUACGAGGGGUCCUAGCGUUGGUCGGAAUCAUUGGGCGUAAAGGGUGUGUAGGUGGCCAUGUAAGUCAGGUGUGAAAGCUCCGUGCUCAACCCGGGAAGCGCACUUGAUACUGCGUGGCUUGAGUACCGAAGAGGGUAGUGAAAUUCCAGGUGUAGUGGUUAAGUACGUAGAUAUCUGGAGGAACACCGGUGGCGAAGGCGGCUACCUGGUCGAGUUCUGACACUGAGACACGAAAGCAUGGGGAUCAAACAGGAUUAGAUACCCGUGUAGUCC